UGAACCUGCGGAGGGAUCAUUACCGAGUUCAUGCCCUUACGGGUAGACCUCCCACCCUAUGUUAUAUUACCUUUGUUGCUUUGGCGGGCCGCCCGGCUUCGGCCAGGCUACCGGCUCCAGCUGGUAAGCGCUCGCCAGAGGACCCUCAACUCUGAAUAUCAGUGUCGUCCGAGUACUAUAAAAUAGUUAAAACUUUCAACAACGGAUCUCUUGGUUCUGGCAUCGAUGAAGAACGCAGCGAAAUGCGAUAAGUAAUGUGAAUUGCAGAAUUCAGUGAAUCAUCGAAUCUUUGAACGCACAUUGCGCCCCUUGGUAUUCCGAGGGGCAUGCCUGUUCGAGCGUCAUUACAACCCUCAAGCACUGCUUGGUAUUGGGCUCCGCUGGCUCCAGCGGGCCUUAAAAUCAGUGGCGGCGCCGUUUGGGCUCUGAGCGUAGUAAAUAUCCUCGCUAUAGAGACCAGGCGGUUCUUGUCAUCAACCCCCAACUUUCUAAGUUUGACCUCGGAUCAGGUAGGGAUACCCGCUGAACUUAAGCAUAUCAAA
rnacentral:rRNA from 1 species